GGGCCUGCUUCGGCGGCACGUAUACUACAAUUUACACGAUACAGAGAUUAGCAUGGCCCAUGUGCAAGGAUGACACCCAAAUUUGUGAAGCAUUCCAUAGUUUU